rnacentral:rRNA from 1 species
AUACGUAGGGGGCGAGCGUUGUCCGGAAUGAUUGGGCGUAAAGGGCGCGUAGGCGGCCCGGUAAGUCUGGAGUGAAAGUCCUGUUUUUAAGAUGGGAAUUGCUUUGGAUACUGUCGGGCUUGAGUGCAGGAGAGGUAAGUGGAAUUCCCAGUGUAGCGGUGAAAUGCGUAGAGAUUGGGAGGAACACCAGUGGCGAAGGCGACUUACUGGGCCGUAACUGACGCUGAGGCGCGAAAGCGUGGGGAGCGAACAGGAUUAGAUACCCUGGUAGUCCACGCGGUAAACGAUGAAUGCUAGGUGUUGCGGGUAUCGACCCCUGCAGUGCCGGAGUAAACACAAUAAGCAUUCCGCCUGGGGAGUACGGCCGCAAGGUCGAAACUCAAAGGAAUUGACAGGG